GGUGAGAUGGCCGAGCGGUCUAAGGCGCCAGCUUAAGGUGUUUACUUCGUUGUAAUCCAUGAAACGCUGGUCCGAAAGGGCGUGGGUUCGAAUGUACGCUCCAAUCA